UGGUUAUGGAGAAAAGGGAAAGAAAAAUGAAUUCUUCUGUUAUAUCAAGAACAUAGCCUAUCACAUUAAAUGACAUGUCCAAAAAGGCCUGCAAAUAUUGACAAAAUAGAAUCCAACUUCUUCAUUUUCUUUUAUUUAGUGGCAUUGGAAAAAACUACCUUCCUUUCAUUUUUUCUUUUUUUUUUUUUUUUUUUUUUUUUUUUUUUACUUCUUUUGUAUCAAAUUUGAUCAUGUUCUCUUCUGAUGGAAUUAGGACGAAUUCCAAUGACCACAGAAGAGGGGUCGUAUCAUCAUAAUUGGCAAGUCGGUUCACCCGAGAUAGUCGAGAUUGGAGAGGAAAGCACAAGCAUGGAUGGAGGUUUUAAUGAUGUUUAUGUUGCUGUUGGGAAAAAUGAUUUGCAUGCUGUUAAAUGGGCACUUGAUCAUGCUGUCUCCAGCGAAAAAUUGUGUUUUCCUUGUGCAUGUUUUCCAUCCUAUUACUUACAUCCCUGCUCCAGGUAACCUACUGCUCUUCUAUUUUCUUGAAAAGACAUAUUUAGUAAGGAGGAUUGAAUAGCCAGACGGUAUUAAGAUUGGAAAAAGAGCUAAAAUCUUAUUUAUUUUAUUGUCUAGUCCUAUCUAACAGUGUAUACAGCAGACACACAGUAUGACUAUGAACCAGAUCAUGAGUCGAUGAUCUUAUUUCCUGUUUGACCUGAUCAUUCUCCAACAAAAAACAGAUGUUUAGCUUGGAGUCUAUAAAAAUUGAUUUGUGGAAUAUAUGGUCCUUGGCAUGCAAUAUUCGAUAUAAUUAGACAGUUUAAUGAACAAAAACUUUAAAACAUUUUCUUUACAUACAGUCUAACUUACCAAAAGUCAUAUCUUUACAAUAGAUUUUCCUACAAAUUGGGGUCGACUAGAUAAAAGUGCUUAAAAAUUGGACAAACAUCAGUUUUAAUUACACAUUCCUUUGGAUCUAAUACUUUUAGGCACUUACAAGUCUACACACGCGAGCACUAAUAUCUUACUUUUCGGUAUCCAUUGCACUUGAACUGUUUGUUAAAAUGGCUGAGUGAAACAUUUUAUUGCCUGAAGUUUCUGUUGGAAUUUUGUAUCGGAAAUUGGUUGUGACCAAUUUUACAUGAUUAUUUAGGCGGAAUUCUUAAUUUGGUGAAUGAGAAAUUAAGCCAAAUGUAAGCAGUUUAAUAUUGAAAAUUGUUGAAAAAUUGUAUAGAAUAUUGUAGAAUAUUCUAGAAAAUGGUUGGAUGAAAAUAUGUAUUGUCAUGUGAACGGUCAUAACCUUUGGCAUAAUUAUUUUCCAAUAAUUAUGAAUUUCAAGAGACGUGACUCUUGGUAUGGUUGUGGUCAUAACCUUUGGCAUAAUUAUUUUCCAAUAAUUAUGAAUUCCAAGAGAUGUGACUCUUGGUAUGUUUGUGUCUUUUGACAUACCUUUCCAACUACUAUAUAUAGAUCCCAUGUGUUUGAAUUUUAUCAUUCAAGAAAUUCAUGAAAGUCAAUAGAUAGAUCAUAUCAUUCCAUUCCAUGCUUACACUUUAGUUUGCAUAAAACACUUUUAGAAGUGAUUUAAAUUUGCAUCAAAGUCAUGGUCAUGGUAGAGAGGGAAUUCCGUUCGAGUUCGCUGGUUGAAGUCAUUUGGAGUGCUCCUAUGACUCGACGUGGUCGUUGUAUCUUGGGAGAUGAUUGUUGAAGAACCGUUAGCACCGAUGUGGGACAAAUUCAUCUUAACGACAAAGUGUUCAAUACUUGCCUCGGUCAAAAAUCUAUCUUCUCACUUUAUUUUCUGAGUUCUGUUAAUUAUACUUUGAUUUCAGAAAAUGAUUAAUCUAAUUUACGUGUUUAUGUUGCGAGGUUCAAUUCAAAGGACAAAGUUCAAUCAUUCAAGAAUCGAAAGAGAAGAAUCCAUAUUCUUGCGUUUGGAAUCGGUAAAUUAUCAUUUCUCCUUAUUAAAUCCAAUUUCGAUAAGUCGAAAUUAUGUUUCGAUUUCAUGCAAAUCGACGAUAGGUUUUUAUGAAUAUAAUUUCCACAUAAUCGGUGUAAAUUUUCCAACAGUUUCAUGUGCAGUAGGAAGGCUAUCAAAGAGCCAAUUAAGCAAAGAGCAAGUGCAGGUUUAUCAAUAAGGAAAGUAACAGGAGAAGGAAUCUCUUAGGAAGAUAUAUUCGUCCAUGCAACGACACAAAAGUGUGUAUAGAAACUAUUCCAUGUGAAAUUCGAGUAGUUUUUUCGACAAAUUCCAAUUUAAAGUAUUCAAUUCGGAGCAUUCAAACGCAAAAAGAAUGAGUUUUUCAAUAUUUUGUUCACUGGUAACAGUAGAAACAAUGCUUGUGGAGAGAAAUGCAGCAGCCAAAGCAAUUAUUGAUCUGAUUCAUGUUGUUAACAUUACUAAUCUUGUUAUAGGAACCAAACAAUCACCUUUCACAAGAUAAGCCCUUCUUUCAUGUCAUAUUUUUCGUUUAACGUCUUAGAGGAUAAGCCCGAAUUCCAAUUUCAAGAGCAAUAAUGUAGAUUUAUGAUGAUUUUUGCCCUAAUGUCAGACACGAACACUUUUCCAAUAACGAGAGGAAUGAUAAACAAAACAAAAAUAGAACACAAAGUUAUUGUGUUUUACACCAUGCGAGAUAUGAACUUGAUACCUUUCUUUUAACUUAGUCUUAGGGAACCCUAAUCGAACAUCGGGAGUACUAAUUAAUAAGCAAAAAAUAAUUACAUAAGAGUUAUAGUGGUUCACCCUAAUGUGACAUAUGAACAUGGUAUCUUUCUUUGAACAUCGAGUCUUAGGUAUUAAACUAUAAUAAACGAAAUAAAAACAAAAAAACUCACGAAUUAUAGUGGUUUACACUAUCACUAUAAAAAUCAAUUGAGCUAAACUAACUUAGAUAUGCAUAUCAAAGUUUAUGAGUUAACGUUAGUGACUUUGUCUUUAUCAUUUUCAGUCUUAUCAACUCAUUCUAUUUUAUUCUAGGUUAUCUGGUAUAUGAUGGAAAAACGACCAAUGGCCUUUGUUGGGUUUUUGAUACCCAAUAAAUUUCAGGUUAUGAUGUUAACGUAGGUUAAUAUUAUUUUAUAGACAUAGGCCGAUGAAUGAAAUAAGUUCAACAAUCAAGUCCAUGAGUUACACUCGGCCCAAUUGUAUUCCCUCUUGGAUGGCUUGAAUCUUAACCCUUUUAAGCCUUUUAAAGGUCCAACUUAAAGCCUAACCCUAGAGUAUAUAUAUGACUAUAACCUUAGCCACUUUCUAGUGAUGUUCUGUGUGGUUUUGUGAGAAAAAUAAAGGAAUCUCGGCUGCCCCCUUUGUGUGUGAAAAAAAGGCCUCUAGAAGUGUCCAACGCUUGUUUACUUUGUGUAAUUGGUGGUUUCUUCAUAGUAUAAUGUUGUGGUGUAUUCUCCUAACCUUUGUGGUCACAAAUCAUCAUAUUUUCUUGUUCUAUGUGAGUAAAAUUGAAUAAUAAUCGAGGUGAAUUAUAUUUGUUGUGGUUUAAAGCUGAUUGGAUUGGUUGUUAGCAGAGAAAGGUACGUUAAAUUGAGCUCGAAAAUUAUCGAUUUGAAGAUCUUUGAAGAAAACUUCUGCAACAGCCUUCAAAUGCAACAAGGCAAAGGACAUUGUCCCAUCCAAUAUUUCAUCAAGGCCAAAAAUCAACAGCCACUCUGAAAGGAAUUUCUUUGAAUAUGUAUGCUUUACAAGCAAAUUCAAAUGAAAUCUAACCUUUUUCAUUUUGUCCUUAUUUUUUGUUGUAUUUUUUUAAAAAUAUGUAAAUCUACAUAAAGAUAGGCACCAUAUAGCUUCUUGAAUAAUUUUUGUCUCUCUGGCAUCAGUUUGACUUUAUUCAUACACUAUCA
rnacentral:lncRNA from 1 species